rnacentral:rRNA from 1 species
GAUAACUGGCUUGUGGCAGCCAAGGGUUCAUAGCGACGUUGCUUUUUGAUCCUACGAUCGAUGUCGUCUCUUUCUAUCAUUGUGAAGUAGAAUUCACCAAGUGCUGGAUUGUUCACCCACCAAUAUGGAAUGUGAGCUGGGUUUAGACCGUUGUGAGACAAGUU